rnacentral:rRNA from 1 species
AGCUCAAAUUUAAAAUCUGGCGUCUUUCAGGCGUCCGAGUUGUAAUCUAUAGAGGCGUUUUCCGCGCCGGACCGCGUCCAAGUCUCUUGGAAUAGAGUAUCAAAGAGGGUGACAAUCCCGUACUUGACGCGACAACCGGUGCUCUGUGAUACGUUCUCAAUGAGUCGAGUUGUUUGGGAAUGCAGCUCUAAAUGGGUGGUAAAUUCCAUCUAAGGCUAAAUAUUGGCGAGAGACCGAUAGCGAACAAGUACCGUGAGGGAAAGAUGAAAAGCACUUUGGAAAGAGAGUUAAACAGCACGUGAAAUUGUUAAAAGGGAAACGAUUGAAGUCAGUCGUGUGAAAGGUAUUCAGCCGUCUCUGGCGGUGUAUUUGCCUUUCACGGGUCAACAUCAGUUUGAUCCGGUAGAAAAAGGCGGGAGGAAGGUGGCACCCUCGGGUGUGUUAUAGCCUCCUGUCAUAUGUGCCGGACCAGACUGAGGAACGCAGCUUGCCGCAAGGCCGGGGUUCGCCCACGUACAAGCUUAGGAUGUUGACA